rnacentral:rRNA from 1 species
GAGUUUGAUCCUGGCUCAGGAUGAACGCUGGCGGCGUGCUUAACACAUGCAAGUCGAACGAGGAAUUUUAAAUGAGACUUCGGUGGAUUUUAAAAUUCUUAGUGGCGGACGGGUGAGUAACGCGUGGGCAACCUGCCCUGUACAGGGGGGACAACAGCUGGAAACGGCUGCUAAUACCGCAUAAGACCACGGAGCCGCAUGGCUCAGUGGGAAAAACUCCGGUGGUACAGGAUGGGCCCGCGUUGGAUUAGGUAGUUGGUGAGGUAACGGCCCACCAAGCCGACGAUCCAUAGCCGACCUGAGAGGGUGACCGGCCACGUUGGGACUGAGACACGGCCCAAACUCCUACGGGAGGCAGCAGUGGGGAAUCUUCCGCAAUGGGCGAAAGCCUGACGGAGCAACGCCGCGUGAGUGAAGAAUUAUUUCGGUAUGUAAAGCUCUAUCAGCAGGGAAGAAAAUAGACGGUACCUGACUAAGAAGCCCCGGCUAACUACGUG